rnacentral:lncRNA from 1 species
AGAGAGCUUACUGUUUAGCUGAAGAGUAUAGUCGUUUUGAUACUAUCGAUAGGUCCCUUGACACUUUGAGAUCCUAGGACUCCCUUGCUGCGUUUGCAGCGAUCUGAUGGGUUCUUUUGAUUUUCUGGGAGCCUUUUCUCUCAGAGUUUGUCAAGGUAAACUUUAAUGGUAGCAUCAAGGAUGGUAGUGGUUGUGCUGGCUUUAUUAUCUAGGGUCCAGAUGCCAGAUUGUUGGCUACAAAAGGCUCUCAUCUUUAUAACUCGUCUAUCCCCGUGUAGAACUCUGUGCCA